rnacentral:rRNA from 1 species
CUUUGGGAUAACCCUCGGAAACGGGGGCUAAUACCGGAUAUGACCUCCUGUCGCAUGGUGGGGGGUGGAAAGUUCUUUCGGCCUGGGAUGGGCUCGCGGCCUAUCAGCUUGUUGGUGGGGUGAUGGCCUACCAAGGCGACGACGGGUAGCCGGCCUGAGAGGGCGACUGGCCACACUGGGACUGAGACACGGCCCAGACUCCUACGGGAGGCAGCAGUGGGGAAUAUUGCACAAUGGGCGGAAGCCUGAUGCAGCGACGCCGCGUGAGGGAUGACGGCCUUCGGGUUGUAAACCUCUUUCAGCAGGGACGAAGCGUGAGUGACGGUACCUGCAGAAGAAGCGCCGGCCAACUACGUGCCAGCAGCCGCGGUAAGACGUAGGGCGCGAGCGUUGUCCGGAUUUAUUGGGCGUAAAGAGCUCGUAGGCGGCUUGUCGCGUCGACUGUGAAAACCCGUGGCUCAACUGCGGGCCUGCAGUCGAUACGGGCAGGCUAGAGUUCGGUAGGGGAGACUGGAAUUCCUGGUGUAGCGGUGAAAUGCGCAGAUAUCAGGAGGAACACCGGUGGCGAAGGCGGGUCUCUGGGCCGAUACUGACGCUGAGGAGCGAAAGCGUGGGGAGCGAACAGGAUUAGAUACCCUGGUAGUCCACGCUGUAAACGUUGGGCGC